rnacentral:rRNA from 1 species
UAUUAAAAGGCUGCUUUUAUAACGAAAUCCGCGUACCCAAGAAUGACGAGUAGCCAACGUGCGUGUAACACUGGGAUAACGCCCGCAACCCGGGGGGAAUACCGGAUAGUACAGUCCUUCACACGGCGGAAUGCGGAAUGUCACCUUAGAGUGUCCCGAACAGCGGGUCCCCCGGCGCAUUAGAUAGUUGCCGGGGUCACUACCCAGCAAGGCAACGAUGCGUAGCCCACCUGAGAGGGUGAUCGGCCACAUUGGAGGGGAGACACGGCCCAAACUCCUACGGGAGGCAGCAGUAGGGAAUCUUCCGCAAUGGUGGAAAGUCUGACGGAGCAACGCCGCGUGAGUGAAGAAGGCCUUCGGGUCGUAAAACUCUGUUGCCGGGGAAGAACAAGUGCCGUUCGAACAGGGCGGCACCUUGACGGUCCCGGCCAGAAAGCCACGGCUAACUAC